GAUGAAGAACGUAGCGAAAUGCGAUACUUGGUGUGAAUUGCAGAAUCCCGUGAACCAUCGAGUCUUUGAACGCAAGUUGCGCCCGAAGCCGUCAGGCCGAGGGCACGCCUGCCUGGGCGUCACACGCCGUUGCCCCCCCGCGCCCCGCACCCAACUCUUUGGGAGCGACCGCGGGGCGGGCUGAUGAUGGCCUCCCGUGCGCUCCGCCGCGCGGUUGGCCCAAAUACCGAGUCCCCGGCGACGUGCGCCACGACGAUCGGUGGUUGAGAGACCUCUGUCGCAAGUCGUGCGCGCCCGCCGCGUCACGCGGGCUCGCAUAGCGCCUCGCGCCGCACCCGGUGCGGAGCUUUCAACGCGACCCCAGGUCAGGCGGGGUUACCCGCUGAAUUUAAGCAUAUCAAUAAGCGGAGGA
rnacentral:misc_RNA from 1 species